ensembl:rRNA 5S_rRNA 5S ribosomal RNA
GCUUACUGCCACACCGGCCUGAGUACGCCUGAUCUCGUCCGAUCUCGGAAGCUAAGCAGGGUCGGGCCUGGUUAGCACCUGGAUGGGAGACCGCCUGGGAAUACCAGGUGCUGUAAGCU